AGGGUUUGAUCCUGGCUCAGAACGAACGUUGGCGGCGUGGAUUAGGCAUGCAAGUCGAACGAAUCCCACCAGCAAUGGUGGGGGAAGUGGCGAAAGGGGCAGUAAUGUGUGGAUAACCUACCCUGGGGUUGGGCAUAGCCGUUCUAACGAACGGGUAAUUCCCAGCGAUUCGGCGUGAUGGCAUCAUCGUGCCGGAAAAGAUUUAUCGCCUCGGGAGGGGUCCAUAUCGUAUUACCUAGUUGGCGAGGUAACGGCUCACCAAGGGGAAGAUGCGUAGCGGGUGUGAGAGCACGACCCGCGCCACUGGCACUGUGACACUGGCCAGACACCUACGGGUGGCUGCAGUCGAGGAUCUUCGUCAAUGGACGCAAGUCUGAACGAGCGACGCCGCGUGUGCGAUCAAGGCCUUCGGGUUGUAAAGCACAAAAGUGGGGAUAAAGCCGAAAGGUUGAUUGAUCCACAGUAAGCUCGGGCUAAGUUCGUGCCAGCAGCCGCGGUAAGACGAACCGAGCGAACGUUGUUCGGAAUCACUGGGCUUAAAGGGCGCGUAGGCGGGCGAUCAAGUCGGUGGUGAAAUCCUACAGCUUAACUGUAGAACUGCCUCCGAUACUGGUUGUCUCGAGGAAGGUAGGGGCGUGCGGAACAGUUGGUGGAGCGGUGAAAUGCGUUGAUAUCAACUGGAACUCCGGUGGCGAAGGCGGCACGCUGGACCUUUUCUGACGCUGAGGCGCGAAAGCCAGGGGAGCAAACGGGAUUAGAUACCCCGGUAGUCCUGGCCCUAAACGUUGGGUACUAGAUAGUAGUCUGUCAUGGGAUUACUGUCGAAGUUAAAAUGCUAAGUACCCCGCCUGGGGAGUAUGGUCGCAAGGCUGAAACUCAAAGGAAUUGACAGGGGCUCACACAAGCGGUGGAGCAUGUGGCUUAAUUCGAGUCUACGCGAAGAACCUUAUCCUAGACUUGACAUGUGCGAAAGCGUGAGGAAGUAGCGUGCGGAAACGUUACGCGAACGGUAUCCAGUCCGGAACCUCAUACAGUGCUGCAUGGCUGUCGUCAGCUCGUGUCGUGAGAUGUCGGGUUAAGUCCCAUAACGAGCGAAACCCUUACCCUUAGUUGCGACCUUAAUUGGGCACUCUAGGGGGACUGCCGGUGUUAAACCGGAGGAAGGCGGGGAUGACGUCAAGUCCUCAUGGCCUUUACGUCUAGGGCUGCACACGUGCUACAAUGGCGUGAACAAAGGGAAGCGAACUCGCGAGAGGGAGCAAAUCCCAGAGAACACGCCCCAGUUCAGAUCGGAGGCUGCAACUCGCCUCCGUGAAGUUGGAAUCGCUAGUAAUCGCGGGUCAGCAACACCGCGGUGAAUGUGUUCCUGAUCCUUGUACACACCGCCCGUCAAGCCACGAAAGAGAGGAGCGCCCGAAGCCGCUGACGCGUCGAAGGCGAGACUCUUGAUUGGGACUAAGUCGGAACAAGGUA
rnacentral:rRNA from 1 species